AGAGAAUAAAGUGGAAGAAUUGAUGGCAUGGAAUGUAAUGCAGAUUGUCAUAUAUUGUGCAAUAAACAUUAUUUUAUGUAAACUUACAUUCCAAGAGACUUCAUUGUUGUGAAGACACAUUCCAGGACUUCAUUGUUGUGAAGACACAUUCCAGGAGACUUCAUUGUUGUGAAGACAAUGACAUACAAACAAUGAUUGAAAUGACAUUUUAAUUUUGAAUACUGUAUAAGGAGUGUAAACACAUGCAUUUUGCAAAUGCUACUGAAUUUGUUUACUGAGAAUGCUUACCUUCAUCAUAAAAAUCCUGGUGAUAUUUUUAUGAAUUAAAUCUCUCAGUAAUUUUACUUGUAAAUAUUUUUUAUUGUUGGUUUGAUUGAAUAACCAUUAUUUAGCCCAAGAUUUAAAUUAUGGUAAGCAUUUGCCUUUGACCUUAAUUGACUAGGAUUGCCAUUUUUCUUACCAAAGGGUGGUUGUUCUUGGUAUGUAUUACAGCCUGAAAUCACCAAUGCAACAUUGUAAACAAUAUCAAUAAUUCAUGAAUCAUAUUUACAAUGAUUGUCAGUAAUUUCAUUUAAAAUAACCAGAAGUUAGCAAGAUAGAAAAAUUUACCAAACAGAAUAAGUCACUGGUACUGUAUUGUUUGAUGUCAAAGCAAUUUCUGUAAGUUGAAUACAAUGUAAAUAAACGGAAUUCAAUUCCUAUUGUUAAGCAUUUUUAUAAAGACA
rnacentral:lncRNA from 1 species